UAUGCAUCAAACAAAAUGAUUACAGUAAAGUGGUGCUGUUGGUUACACGACUUUGUUCAAAGACUGUGCUUAAACAAACUGUGGGUGUCAAAUCCCAAUAUUGAAACAAUAACAAUAAUAUUUAAUAAUAAAGCUUAAAGAAAUCUAACCUCUUUUUUUUUUUUAUCAAAACAGUAAAAUAUAUAUAUNAAAAGGAUAGAGAUAUUUUUGUAAAGAGAAAAAAUUCAAAACUCACGCUUUUAUAAAAAAUUAAUAUCUUUUACUAUAUUAUUAAAAAUCACAUAUAAUGAAGAAAAUUUUAUUUCAAAGUCACCUAUAAUUAUGUUGAGAUAUUUGAGAAAUUUACGGAUAUUAUAUUGUGAAAGAAUUGGCGGUGCAGAUAUUACGCGUGAGAAGAAAAAUAUCUAUUCCUCUAUACCUAUACAUUAUUUCUCUUGGAGUUUGCCACGUGGCAAUUCCUCCUUCACCCCUCAUUUUCACUUCAAAAUUUCUAUUCUCCAAUCAUUGCUUCUCUCUAACGUUUACCUCUUCGACUUUCCGUCUCAUUAAUUUCUUCCCUGUAACGUUUGUCUCUUCAGUUUUCCGUCUCAUUAAUUUCUUUUCUGUAACGUAUGUUUCUUUGGCUUCCCAUCUCAUUAAUUUCUUCUCUGUAACGUUGCUGCUUCGACUUCCCCCUUAUUAAUUUCUAUUUUCUAAGAGGCGUUGCCCGAGAAGCCCCUGGGCACAGCAUAUGGCGUCCUCGACAACGACCUCGCCUACUACGUCCGCUCCA
rnacentral:lncRNA from 1 species